GUCCGGAUGGCUGAGUGGUCUAAAGUGUUGCGUGCAGAACAUAAUCUUCUCUGGAGGCGUGGGUUCAUAUCCCACUUCUAACU
rnacentral:tRNA from 1 species